UACCCAGACUCCUACGGGAGGCAGCAGUGAGGAAUAUUGGUCAAUGGGCGGGAGCCUGAACCAGCCAAGUCGCGUGAGGGAAGACGGUCCUACGGAUUGUAAACCUCUUUUGCCGGGGAGCAACGGGGUCCUUGCGAGGGCCCGAUGAGAGUACCCGGAGAAAAAGCAUCGGCUAACUCCGUGCCAGCAGCCGCGGUAAUACGGAGGAUGCGAGCGUUAUCCGGAUUUAUUGGGUUUAAAGGGUGCGUAGGCGGGCUGUUAAGUCAGCGGUCAAAUGUCGGGGCUCAACCCCGGCCUGCCGUUGAAACUGGCAGUCUCGAGUUGGAGAGAAGUAUGCGGAAUGCGCGGUGUAGCGGUGAAAUGCAUAGAUAUCACGCAGAACCCCGAUUGCGAAGGCAGCCUUCCGGCGCCCUACUGACGCUGAGGCACGAAAGUGCGGGGAUCGAACAGGAUUAGAUACCCUUGUA
rnacentral:rRNA from 1 species